rnacentral:rRNA from 1 species
CCUACGGGAGACAGCAGUGAGGAAUAUUGGUCAAUGGACGCAAGUCUGAACCAGCCAUGCAGCGUGCAGGAAGACUGCUCUAUGAGUUGUAAACUUCUUUUGUACGAGAGUAAACGCAGAUACGCGUAUCUUUCUGAAAGUAUCGUACGAAUAAGGAUCGGCUAACUCCGUGCCAGCAGCCGCGGUAAUACGGAGGAUUCAAGCGUUAUCCGGAUUUAUUGGGUGUAAGGGGUGCGUAGGCGGGCGGGUCAGUUAGGGGUGAAAUGCCGCGGCUCAACCUCGGAAUUGCCUGUGAUACUGGGGGGCGGGAGAGGAGUUGCGGUAGGCGGAAGGGGUGGUGUAGGGGUGAAAGGCUUAGAGAGCAGACAGAAGACCGAGUGCGAGGGCAGCUUAGGAGGCUACUUCUGACGUUGAGGCACGAAAGCGUGGGGAGCAAACAGGAUUAGAGACCCCGGGAGUC